rnacentral:lncRNA from 1 species
UUCAACAGCUGCCUAGGCCUUUUCUUGGAGAGUAUCUUAAGGUUGGCAUGGCUAUCCACCAUGGUCACUUCUAUGUCUGCUGCUGCCCACUGGUUGCUGUUGCUCUGAGCCAUGUUUGGCUCGUUUGCUUGGACCCCAGCUGAGUUGUUGUUGCUCUGAGUUGCACGAGUUGAGAAUUGUGGGAAGGUGAAGAACUCAGCCAAAGGUUGUUGCUUGCUCCUUUUGUUGCUGUCCAUUGACUGCAAAAGCUGCUCUAGCUCCUUCACAAAAUUAAUGGC